CACGUAGUUAGCCGGGGCUUCUUAGUCAGGUACCGUCAUUUUCUUCCCUGCUGAUAGAGCUUUACAUACCGAAAUACUUCAUCGCUCACGCGGCGUCGCUGCAUCAGGGUUUCCCCCAUUGUGCAAUAUUCCCCACUGCUGCCUCCCGUAGGAGUUUGGGCCGUGUCUCAGUCCCAAUGUGGCCGGUCACCCUCUCAGGUCGGCUACUGAUCGUCGCCUUGGUGGGCCGUUACCCCGCCAACUAGCUAAUCAGACGCGGGCCCAUCUCAUACCACCGGAGUUUUUACCGCUGUACCAUGCGGUACCGCGGUCUUAUGCGGUAUUAGCAGUCAUUUCUAACUGUUAUCCCCCUGUAUGAGGCAGGUUGCCCACGCGUUACUCACCCGUCCGCCGCUCAGUCAGACUGCUUCGCCUCCGAAGAUUUAAAGCAGAAUGCUUCGCUCGACUUGCAUGUGUUAAGCACGCCGCCAGCGUUCAUCCUGAGCCAGGAUCAAACU
rnacentral:rRNA from 1 species